UACAGAGGGUGCUAGCGUUGUUCGGAAUCAUUGGGCGUAAAGGGCGUGUAGGCGGUUUGUUAAGUCAUGUGUGAAAUCCCUCGGCUCAACCGGGGAACGACGCAUGAAACUGGCAAGCUAGAGUACCAAAGAGGGGGGUGGAAUUCCCGGUGUAGCGGUGAAAUUCGUAGAUAUCGAGAGGAACACCGGUGGCGAAGGCGGCCUUCUGGACAGUGACUGACGCUGAGACGCGAAAGCGUGGGGAGCAAACAGG
rnacentral:rRNA from 1 species